GCCUGGCUUGCUCAGUUGGUAGAGCAUGUGACUCUUGAUCUCUGGGUUGUGAGUUUGAACCCCACACUGGGCA
rnacentral:tRNA from 1 species